UGAGGUAUGGGGUGAGGUUGGGCA
rnacentral:piRNA from 1 species